UACGAAGGGGGCUAGCGUUGCUCGGAAUCACUGGGCGUAAAGGGUGCGUAGGCGGGUCUUUAAGUCAGAGGUGAAAUCCUGGAGCUCAACUCCAGAACUGCCUUUGAUACUGAGGAUCUUGAGUUCGGGAGAGGUGAGUGGAACUGCGAGUGUAGAGGUGAAAUUCGUAGAUUAUUACGCAAGAACACCAGUGGCGAAGGCGGCUCACUGGCCCGAUACUGACGCUGAGGCACGAAAGCGUGGGGAGCAAACAGG
rnacentral:rRNA from 1 species